AUAGUUGAUCCGAUCUAGCCAUAUCCAUCUGUCAAUCCGUCCGCCCGUCUGUACGAACAAAGAUCUCAGAACCCAUAAGAGCUAAUGACUUGACAUUUUGAAUGUAGGUCCUCCUAGGGCCCGCGCAGUUCGACUUUAUUUCCGAUAAGUCCAUAACUUGCCCCAUUUUCAAGUAAUCCAUAUGAAAAUUCUGUUUAUUGAGUAAAUCUAGCAAGUUCUAAGAGAAAGAAAAUCCGAAAUUGGCAUUUAGCUACUAGAAUAGUAUAUAUAUAUAUAUAUGUCGAAGUCUGCGAAUUAUUCUCCAAUCUAUAAGGCUUUGGAGCGCAGUGUGUUUCGAUGUGUACGUCUCCGGAAGCAACAGAACCCAACGUGCUUCCGUUUCCCUUUUUAUCCCAUCGAACCACACUCGGCGACAAUGUUCCUCGCCCCAACAGUUCUAAGCAAAGCGACAACUUCAACUUGGAAAUGGCAAUUCCCAAUCAUUGUGAACUACCAAAUAUCUUGACAUUCCCAAUAUUAUUAUGACAUUCCACGUGCAACCACAUAGACAUUCCGUAUGCGCCGACACGGCCAUUCUAACUCUAACACGUCCUCGUGUACAAAAGUCCAUAAUUCCAGUUGCCUUGUGCUUCCAUUAUAUUACACGGUCGACGUACUCUGUUAUUUUCCUUUGGCCAGCACUUCAACACCGUUCACCCUAUUGGGGCUCUUCACGUUCUUCAGAAAAUUUGACAUUCUCAAUAUUUUCAUUUUCACUUUCAACUCUAUUAUUAUAAUCAUCACACACAUUUAGCUUCUCGGGUACUUCCCCAACUGGCAAUUAUCUUUAAUUUUUAUGUGCAUAUUUGUAACUUCGUUUAUUGGUUAAGGACUUCAAAAUGUUUCUGUCACCCUCUAAAACCUGCGUUAUUUUAAAAGGACCCUUGACUUUUGGACUUAACUUGGUUUGAUGCCUCUCUUCGCUUUUAAAUAAUAGUUUAAAUAAUCUUUCAAAAAAGAAGCAUUUUUGAAAAAUGUGUCAAUUCGCCCCGAACAUUUCGUGUAUUUUGCGAUGGUUAAUCGAGAUUUCUAUCGAUGAUGUGAAAAAUGUAAAAGUAACGUAAACAUAAAAAUCUGAUAUAUCAAUGAAGGCAAGCGGCAACUUUAAAUAAGAUAGUUAAAAUUAGAAUAAUCCCACUGUCUUUUGAAUUUAAACAUGGCGAAAUGUCGAAAAAAAUACCUAAAAUGGGGCCUUACUUCGAGAACGCAAUUUUUGAGUUUUGGAAGAAAAAUGUUGCGGCGCUUAUGUAAAUUAAAGAAACUUGUCACCUGUUUAUUUAAAGAAGCGGUAUUUUUGCCACUCACAUGUUACCGCCAACCGGUGGAAUACCAAUAGGUGAAAUUGGAAAAUGUGGCAUUUCUUAAACCAGUGGACAGAGACUAUAAUACAAAAUCUCCAACUUUGUAUUUAAGUAAUUUUGCCUUUUAUCAAAUAGUUUUUUGUCAUAAACUGCAGUAACUAAAACAUUCUUUUCAGCCUUUUCUCUUACGUUUGACAAAUCAAUCUCAUUUUCUAUGUCACUAGGUGGAAAUAAUCCUAAAGGGCAUGCUUCCUUUCCCAAUAGCAUUUCUAGAGGAUUUGCCUUUGUCACAAGCCGCCGUUAACAUAUUUUUCAACGUGCUCAUUGUCAGUUCCACUUGGCUAUUAGCUCGACUGGCACCGGUGGCAAUCAAGUGCAAGUUUAUUAUAUGAUCUUAUUGAAAUGUACACAAUUAAAUAAAAUACUAGUUGGUUUAGAUGAUCUCAGUAUUUAUUUAUUUACUUUUCUGAGCACGUUAAAACUGAAAAUUACAAAAGCCUACUUGGUCAUUGUACCUUUUGUAUGAAUGAGUGUUAGUGUGUAUUUCAACACUCAUUCCAACAGAUCUGAACAGAAUCUACUAAAUUUGCUCCCGUAAAACAUCUUCCCUGGUCGGCUAUUAUUCGGUUUGGUACUCCAAACAACGAAGCAGCGGAUUGAAGAGCGAUUUAAGGGUAUGAUAUAGAUAGACAUACUUGGUAAACGCAUCUACUUGAACAAUAACGUACUCUUUUUGGUCACUCUUGCCACCCAAUUUCCCAAUUAUGUCGAUGUGGGUAGUGUGCCAAGAAAUAUAGACUUUCGGGAUUGGAUGCACUUUAGCCUGAGUUUUUCCUGAAGCUGAAGAAUUUUGCAAGUGAUGCAGUUGUCUACAAAUUUUCUGAUAUAUUUUAAAUAUAUAACCAGUAAAAAUCGUAAACUUUAUCGAAUGUCUUUUCGAAACCUUGGUUUAUAACGGCACCACUGGUAAACAGCGCGUUCUGCCAUUUCUCUGUAAAAAAGAAAAAUCUUUCAAUUUACUCACAAUUUUGGCUAUGUCUGAGUCUCGACGCUGUUCAGCAAUUAGCCAAUUGCUUGAAAUUUCAGCCAAGUCUACUCUCUUCUCUUCAAUCGCCUUCACAGCGGAAGUAGUCUUUGGAAAGAUGGGAUUUCUCAACAUGGGCCAUUCUUUUCCCUUCUCUGUACUGAACGUCGAUUGUAAAUGACUGCAAAUAAGCCCACCAGCGCUGUGCUCUAGGGGUCAAGCCUCGUUUAUUUCUUGACGCCUUCAGUGAGUUACAGUCGAUAUAAACCAUAAAGUUUCUACCCAACAAAUAGUGUCGAAAAUGUUUAAUGGCUUUUCAACUGCUAAAGUUUCCAACUAAUACGAGGGGUAUUACGACUCUGCAGUAGUUUUGCUAUAGUAUUCUAUUAUCUGGGGGUUAUUAUUAAUAAUUUUUGUGUAAAAAAAUUGCACCGCAUCCACUGCAACUUGCAUGUGUAUGCAAUUCAAUUGGAUAAUUAGGGCUAAAAAUAACAAGGACUUGUUUAUCAGUAAGAGUAGAAAUAACUUUCUUCCGUAUCUGUUCAUUUUUUGGUUUCCGAAUAAAUUUAUUAUUGUCUGAAGUUAACUGCGAAAAACCCUUAAUAAUAAACUGCCGGAAGUAAGAUGCCAAUCCAAUAAAGUGCAUAAGUGAUGUGACUGACUGUGGAGGCGGAAGAGCAAUCAACGCUACAAUUUUCUGAGGGUUCGGACGAAUUUCACCACCACUAACACUGACGGCUAAAUAUUGAACUGAUAUUUUCAAGAAAGAACACUUUGUAAUAUUAAAAGGAAGGAACCCCAGCCUCUGUCAGGAUAUUUAGAACAAUCUCUAUUUUUUCUAACGCCUCACAUUGUGUUGCCGCAGUUAUCAUAAUGUUCUGAAUCCUUACUUCAGACAUCUAUUGUAAUGUGCGUAAUUGUGACCGGAGUUUGCAUCGGAUUCUGACCAAUUGUCUCCUGCUGAUUCGGGUAAUAUUAUUACCGCAGAAACGGUUAGUCAGGAAUUCUACUAGUAUUGUGGUGUCAUUGUUAAUUUUUUCUUUCUGAAUAUACCUAUUUUGACUUAUA